rnacentral:rRNA from 1 species
UACGUAGGGUGCAAGCGUUAAUCGGAAUUACUGGGCGUAAAGCGUGCGCAGGCGGUUUUGUAAGUCAGAUGUGAAAUCCCCGGGCUUAACCUGGGAACUGCGUUUGAAACUACAAGGCUAGAGUGUGGCAGAGGGGGGUGGAAUUCCCAGUGUAGAGGUGAAAUUCGUAGAUAUUGGGAAGAACACCGGUGGCGAAGGCGGCUCACUGGCUCAUUUCUGACGCUCAGGCGCGAAAGCGUGGGGAUCAAACAGG